rnacentral:rRNA from 1 species
GAGGGAUGAUGAGUGCUAGUGUUAGGGGGUUUCCGCCCUUAGUGCUGCAGCUAACGCAUUAAGCACUCCGCCUGGGGAGUACGACCGCAAGGUUGAAACUCAAAGGAAUUGACGGGGACCCGCACAAGCGGUGGAGCAUGUGGUUUAAUUCGAAGCAACGCGAAGAACCUUACCAAAUCUUGACAUCCUUUGACAACUCUAGAGAUAGAGCUUUCCCCUUCGGGGGACAAAGUGACAGGUGGUGCAUGGUUGUCGUCAGCUCGUGUCGUGAGAUGUUGGGUUAAGUCCCGCAACGAGCGCAACCCUUAAGCUUAGUUGCCAUCAUUAAGUUGGGCACUCUAAGUUGACUGCCGGUGACAAACCGGAGGAAGGUGGGGAUGACGUCAAAUCAUCAUGCCCCUUAUGAUUUGGGCUACACACGUGCUACAAUGGACAAUACAAAGGGCAGCGAAACCGCGAGGUCAAGCAAAUCCCAUAAAGUUGUUCUCAGUUCGGAUUGUAGUCUGCAACUCGACUACAUGAAGCUGGAAUCGCUAGUAAUCGUAGAUCAGCAUGCUACGGUGAAUACGUUCCCGGGUCUUGUACACACCGCCCGUCACACCACGAGAGUUUGUAACACCCGAAGCCGGUGGAGUAACCUUUUAGGAGCUAGCCGUCGAAGGUGGGACAAAUGAUUGGGGUGAAGUCGACGGGGGGCCCCCCCAAAAAAAUUUUUUUGUCCCCCUAAAUUUGCCCCCAAUUUCCCCGAAAUUUUUUGGGCCCUCAAAAGGGGGGUUUUGCCCCCCGGGGGGGUUCCCCCCGAUCGCCGCGGGGGUUUUGUCCGCGGGGGAAGGGGGGGGGUUUCCCCCGCUCGUGCUUGGGGGGGGGGGGGGGUUUGGGCGGCUGUCCCGGGGGGGGGCGCGCGGGGGGGGGGGGGGGGGGGGGGGCUUUUCCCCACGAAAAACUUUAGAAAAACCCCGCCGCACCCCGCGGGGGUUUUACCCGGGCCGAAAUGUUUUUUGGGGGGGGAGAAGGGGGGGGGGGCCCCCUCACUUUUUUUUUCCCGCCGGGGGGGGGGCGGGGGGCCCCAUAAAAAAUUUGUCCCGGCGGGGGUUUUUUUUUUUAAAAAUUAGCCGUCCGCCGGCGCCCGGGGGGGGGGGGGGGGCGGCCAGGUGGUGCUGUUGUUGGCAACUAAGUGUUUGGGGCCCCCUCCCCCCCCCAAAAAGAAGGGGAAGGGAGGGGGGGUUUUUUUUUCGGAAAGGAACCGAUCAAAAAAGACCCCCCUCCCUUUUUCCAACCCCCCCCCGAUCGGGGGGGGGGGGGGGUUUUUUUUUUUUCCCCCCCCACCCCCGUGGGGGGGGGCCUUUUUUUCCCCCCCCCCCCCUCCCGGCGGGUGGGGGGGGGGGGGAAAGGAAAAAUUUUUAAACCCCGCCCCCCGGGCCCGGGGGGGGGUUUUGGGGGGGGCCCCUGGCCCCGCCCCGGGCCCCCAGAAGAAGGGAAAGGAGGGGUUGGGGAGGAUGGGGGUAAGGGGGGGCGGGGGGAAGGGGGGGGGGCCCGGAAUUUUCCACCCCGUUUGGGAAGGGCGGGGGGGUUGGGGGGGGGGGGCGGGGAAAACGCAAGACCCCCCCCCCCCCCUUUUAUCCUUGGGGGAAUUGGGGGGGGGGGGGGUCUUCCCAAUCGUCUUUGAAAAAUGGGGGCUUUUGGGGGGUUUUGGGGGGGUUACGGGGAUUGGGGGGAAAAAAUUGAAAAAUUGGCCCCCGGUUUUUGAACGCCCUAAUAAUUCUGUGACGAAAGGCAACG